AUAUUGUCCUAGGAUGACUGGAUCGUUAGGAAGAGACUCUGCCAGCAUAAGUAGCGAAAAACCAGGUGAGAACCCUGGUCGCCGUAAGUCUAAGGUUUCCUGAGAAAGGUUAAUCCGCUCAGGGUUAGUCGGAUCCUAAGGUGAGGCCGAAAGGCGUAGCUGAUGGACACACGGUUAACAUUCCGUGACUACUUUAGUUCGAUCAAGACCGAUGCGGGGACGCAUCGCGUAAGUUCCUCAGCGCAAUGGUUUCAAUGGGGAGCGAAGUGAGGUUGGGAAGGGGAAAUCCGCCCGGCCGUAUGCCAGGAAAAUCCGCUAAGGAGAACUAAAGUAUCCGUACCAUAAACCGACACAGGUGGACGAGAUGAGUAUUCUCAGGCGCUCGGGUGAUGGUUUGUUCAGGAACUAGGCAAAUUAACUCCGUAACUUCGGGAUAAGGAGUGCCUUCAGCAAUGGAGGCCGCAGCAAAGCGCAUCAGGCGACUGUUUAACAAAAACGCAGGUCUCUGCUAAGUCGAAAACGACGUAUAGGGGCUACGCCUGCCCGGUGCUGGAAGGUUAAAGGGAGAGGUCAACGCAAGUGAAGCUUUGAACUGAAGCCCCAGUGAACGGCGGCCGUAACAAUAACGGUCCUAAGGUAGCGAAAUUCCUUGUCGGGUAAGUUCCGACCUGCACGAAUGGCGUAACGAUCUGAUGACUGUCUUAACAAGCCGCCCGGCGAAUUUGUGGUUCCGGUGAAGACGCCGGAUGCCCGCCACUAGACGAAAAGACCCCGUGCACCUUUACUAUACCCUAUCAAUGAAUUAUGGGAUGUGCUGCGCAGAAUAGGUGGGAGGCUUUGAACCCGGGAUUUUGGUUUCGGGGGAGCCAACUGUGAGAUACCACCCUGUGCAUUCUGUGAUUCUAACUCGUUCCCGUGAUCCGGGAAGAGGACAUUGGUAGGCGGGUAGUUUGACUGGGGCGGUCGCCUCCUAAAUUGUAACGGAGGCGCUCGAAGCUUGGUUCAGGAGGUUUGGAAAUCCUCCAUUGAGUGCAAUGGCAUAAACCAGGUUAACUGCGAGACCAACGAGUCAAGCAGGUACGAAAGUAGGACAUAGUGAUCCGGUGGUUCUGUAUGGAAGGGCCAUCGCUCAACGGAUAAAAGGUACGCCGGGGAUAACAGGCUUAUCGGAGUCAAGAGUUCACAUCGACGCUCCGGUUUGGCACCUCGAUGUCGGUUCAUCGCAUCCUGGGGGUGUAGAAGCUCCCAAGGGUUAGGCUGUUCGCCUAUUAAAGCGGUACGUGAACUGGGUUCAGAACGUCGCGAGACAGUUCGGUCUCUAUCUGUGGUGGGCGGAGGAAAUUUGAGAGGGCUUGACCCUAGUACGAGAGGACCGGGUUGAACAGACCUCUUGUGAUCCAGUUGUCACACCAGUGGCAUAGCUGGGUAGCGAAGUCUGGUCGGGAUAAACGCUGAAAGCAUAUAAGCGUGAAACCUUCCUCAAGAUGAGAUUUCCCAAGCGAAAGCUAAGAAGGGCCGUGGUAGACGACCACGUUGAUAGGACGGAUGUGUAAGUGCAGUAAUGUAUUUAGCUUACCGUUACUAAUAGCCCGUUCGGCUUGACC
rnacentral:rRNA from 1 species